UUGUGGCAAAUACUCAUUUUGUUUGUUUAUAAUAUAUUGUAAAAUGUGUGUAUCUAUGACGUUUUUGUGGAAAAUUCGUUUCAAUAACAAUUAACAGCUAGACUAAUUUUAUUAGAAUAAAGCCUCAGCAGAACUUUGUUUCGGAUAUUGACAAUAUUGAACGUUUUAUCUAGAUAUCCAAUGUGGGCAACUAUAAAUUUGAGGAUCAAUGCAACUGAAGUUAUUGAUUUAUCACUGUUGAGUGUUGAUAGUACUGCUGAAGAAGACGGAGAGCAAUGUUUGAUCUCAAGAUUCACUAAACAAAAGCUCAGACUGUUGACUACACAUCGCAUAAGUUUGUUGUGAUAGAUGUAACAGAAUCUCAUGUGACACCGGGCUCCCUUAUCUCUGACAGAUUCCAUUUCAGAAGAAUUUAUUUGCAGUUGACAUUUCAAAAUGGAUUUUCGACAAAACAUUCCGAAUCUGGAAAUAUGGCAUGAUAACUUUUUUCUUUGAAAAUUUUCAUUUGAUUAAAUUAAACUAAUCUGAAUGAUAUUACAGAAAACAUACAGAUUAAUUCUGACAAUGUCUAGUUAUACACAGAAAUAUUAUAUUGGUAUGCAUUAUUGUAUUUCUGUACAUAUGAAUGUUUUGCUUGUUAACUGGAUUUACUUCUUUUUAUUUAACAGGGGUUUAAAUGACCGCCAUCUUUGCAUGCAUAAUUCAGCUCUAGUGUUAAAAUUGUCUGAAGCAUUUAAAAAAAACUUGCAGAGAAAUAGCUGUUUAAAAAUUGUCGGAAUUAAUGGGACACCCUGUAUAAUAAUGGUUAUUUUAUUUAUAAUAUCCAUAUACAGGGUGUCCCAUGAAACAUGACAGCAGCAAGACGAAUUGAAUGUCCCCCUUCUUUUUAAAAAAAACUUACGUAGUUUAGUCUUAAACCUAAUUUAAAAGUAAAGUUCUAGGGUUAAUAUUAACUAAACUCUCCUAGUCUUAGCAUUUUUAAAAAUGUGGUCAAAUGCGGUUAGAUUAAAUUCAUCAUUCAUCAAAAUUUGAUGAUUCGGGCUACUAGGUUAAAAAUGGCUCCGGUGCUCCAACAAAUUUUGUUAGGAGCAAAUUUCACAUUUUUUAGUGUAAAAAUAAUAAACCCCAUGUUAAGUUGAAGUGAACAGAAACAUGUGAUAGAACAACCAGACACUGAUGAGCUCUUGGAACUUUGAAGAACCUUUUGUGAUUCACCAACCACAAUUUUAAAACUAAAAGUGAAGAUUUAUAAUGAGAUCUGAUCAAAGGUCCUACUAAUCGAGGAUUCGGGAUCCAUCGUAAACGGAUCAAGGAGUCAACAAAUCAAGGAUCAAGGACUCAACUAGACAAGGAAAUAUUCAAAGAAAGUCAACAUUGAACAGAAGUCAAGCCUUGAUGUUGCCAACAUUGGAAAAUUCUAGGAAGGAUAUAUUUUAAACAAAAAUGAGCGCAUAUGAAAAAUUGGCUUUAAAAAUGGCAGGCUGGUCAUUCUGCAGAUAAAAUGUCAAGAAAAGGUGGGAUAUUUUGACUCU